rnacentral:misc_RNA from 1 species
UCUCCGUUGGUGAACCAGCGGAGGGAUCAUUACAGGACUCGCAAGACUCCUUCACCCUGUGAACCUCACUACAAGCACGUUGCUUCGGCGGGUGUCCCGGCGGGGGUUUUCCCUCGCCGGGGCGCACAGCCCGCCGGCAGCCUACUAUACCCUGUCUCUUUGCGUUGGCAUCUCGAGAAAAAACAAACAAGUUAAAACUUUCAACAACGGAUCUCUUGGUUCUG